rnacentral:rRNA from 1 species
UACAGAGGGGGCAAGCGUUGUUCGGAAUUACUGGGCGUAAAGGGCGCGUAGGCGGCCGCCUAAGUCAGACGUGAAAUCCCUCGGCUUAACCGGGGAACUGCGUCUGAUACUGGAUGGCUUGAGUUUGGGAGAGGGACGCGGAAUUCCAGGUGUAGCGGUGAAAUGCGUAGAUAUCUGGAGGAACACCGGUGGCGAAGGCGGCGUCCUGGACCAAUUCUGACGCUGAGGAGCGAAAGCCAGGGGAGCAAACGGG